CAAACAAGAAACCCCAGUGGGGACAGUAUUGGAAACAUCAGUGCAGAUGGAUUCUGGCCCUCUCCUCAUAAGAUGUAAAGCUCUUUCACAGUUGAGGUCUUAUUAAGUUAAAAAUUUAUAGCUUUUUACUAGGCUGUAACCAGUUAAUGUGACUCAGACAAAGAUGUAAUGUGAACAGAGGCAUUACUUAGAGCUACCAUUUUUGCCUUACUGCAGAGGUUCCUCUUCUCCAGACCUCACACGCAAGUUCCUAGAAGCCACAGCUGAAGCACAUUUAAGAAUUAGUCUGUGAGCUCAUUUGAUGAAGUGAGGGGGAUCAGCUGGGGUUUGGGCUGAUUGGCUUCAGCAGUGCAGUAGGCAGAGGUUUGAACCACUUCUUUCUGAGCAGUUUUGGGCUGUGGCUCCUUCCCUAGGACUUGCCAGCACCAUCUCUUCAGCAAAGAUGGGUCUGAAGUUCUUCAUUUAGAUGAAGAGACAGAUAAUUGACAGAUUUUUAGAUAGACAGGGAGCUCUGUGGAGGCCUGGUCUGAAGCACUGGUGUGGCAGAUGUGGUGUACCAACGCUUCCUAUUCCUGAGUCCCCUGCAAACUUGUUCACAUCUCUCAUGAGUGAGGUGGCUUUGCAGUUUAGCGUUAGUAGUAGAAACUUGUGCCUAACAACAACAUUGCAAUGUGGCCAAGUCUUCAGGUAAUGUGUUCAAAGUAGAAAAGCAACGAGUCAGCGUGUAGAAAUAACUCUAAUAGGAUCUGAUCCAACGUGUAUUGACAUCAUGGAUGGUUUCUAUUUGUUUAAAUUGGUUUAGGGAUGGUGAUAUAUAGAUCUCAACAGAAUCUUUCAAGAACUGUGCAGUUUAUGAGUGUUUCAUCUGUAAGAAAUGAUGCCAAGUUUUGUGGCAAAAUAUAUCCUGUUUUAUACAAAAGAUGAGUAAUUUUAAUAGCAGCAAAGUCAUUUUGAACUAGGCUUUUUUCAGUUAACCAUCCAUUAGAAAAAUACCUGCAUGUGUCUUUUCAGCAAGCUAUAACAAUAAUCUGAGGGGAGAAGGAGAAUCUUUAAUAUAUUUUUUAAUUGGUACUUAAUGGUCUUUGUUUCCAGGGACUUAGUGGUUCGGUUUGAUAGAUGAUAGUCUAACAAUAUCUGCAACAAGAAACAACUUCCUACUGCAAGUUCAAAUGAUUUCCAAGGAAGAGAGAGCCUAGUGUUUGUUAGUCCUGCAGCUCUUUGUUGUUUUGUUUUGUAGAUUUUUGGGGAAGGGAAUUAAAUGGAAAAUGUCAGAAACACUCCUGGUAGUUUUGUGUAUCAUUAGAAAAAUUAACUGUCGCUCUCCUAUGUUUGGAGUCAGAUAUCCAGAUGCUAUUCUCUCAGCACUAAGAGAUUUAUGCUAAAAAGCCUGAUGCAUGCUGACAUGCAGCAGAUCUCAUUCCUUUGCUUCCAAAAAUUCAAAAGGAAAACACAGCAGAAGACCACAGGGAGUUACCACCAAGCACAAUGUUUGGAAGAAAGACAAGAAAUAUCAUGCAUGGGCUUGGGGUACUGUAAUCGUGGAUGCUUCAGUCAUACUUGUAUUUUAGUGAAUACCAAAAUCAUUUGUGUCAUGUGAGCACAGGCUUUGUGAGGUCUGGUGAAACUGGUGAAAUGGGAGAUUUGUAAAUAUAUCUGAUAUUUUAUUCUG